rnacentral:rRNA from 1 species
GAUGAACGCUGGCGGCGUGCCUAAUACAUGCAAGUAGAGCGAAGGGACGAGAAGCUUGCUUCUCUGAUGUUAGCGGCGGACGGGUGAGUAACACGUGGAUAACCUACCUAUAAGACUGGGAUAACUUCGGGAAACCGGAGCUAAUACCGGAUAAUAUUUUGAACCGCAUGGUUCAAAAGUGAAAGACGGUCUUGCUGUAACUUAUAGAUGGAUUCGCGCUGCAUUAGCUAGUUGGUAAGGUAACGGCUCACCAAGGCAACGAUGCAUAGCCGACCUGAGAGGGUGAUCGGCCACCCUGGAACUGAGCCACGGUCCAGACUCCUACGGGAGGCAGCAGUAGGGAAUCUUCCGCAAUGGGCGAAAGCCUGACGGAGCAACGCCGCGUGAGUGAUGAAGGUCUUCGGAUCGUAAAACUCUGUUAUUAGGGAAGAACAUAGUUGUAAGUAACUGUGCACAUCUUGACGGUACCUAAUCAGAAAGCCACGGCUAACUACGUG